AACGAACGCUGGCGGCAUGCCUAACACAUGCAAGUCGAACGAGACCUUCGGGUCUAGUGGCGCACGGGUGCGUAACGCGUGGGAACCUGCCCUUAGGUUCGGAAUAACUCCCCGAAAGGGGUGCUAAUACCGGAUAAUGUCUUCGGACCAAAGAUUUAUCGCCUUUGGAUGGGCCCGCGUUGGAUUAGCUAGUUGGUAGGGUAAAAGCCUACCAAGGCGACGAUCCAUAGCUGGUCUGAGAGGAUGAUCAGCCACACUGGGACUGAGACACGGCCCAGACUCCUCCGGGGGGCAGGGGGGGGGAAUAUUGAAAAAGGGGCGAAGGCCUGACCCAGCACGGCCGUGGGAGAGAUGAAGCCCUAGGGGUUGAAAAGCUUUUUUACCCGGGAGGAUAAGGACGGUACCGGGAGAAAAAGCCCCGGCUAACCCCGUC
rnacentral:rRNA from 1 species